rnacentral:lncRNA from 1 species
AGAUCUUUGGGGCCAGCAGAACAGUAUUGGAGAACAUCCAGUAGCAAGCUUGCCAAAUGUACAUAGUCUCCUGCCAACUGUGACUAGAGAUGGAUAGCUGGAGCCACUGAGGAUCCUGGGGACUCAGCAGGAAUGAGUGAUAGACUGAGGGGCAAGCAAGGACAAGCUACAGUUCACACUCUGCCACUCAACAGGACCCCUUCCCACUGCUACAUUCCAGGAGAGGUUGGAAAGUUAAAGAAGGGGCCUGCAAGAUAGCUCAGCAGAGAGAGGUGCUUGUACCAGCAGAACCGCCCGAUUUAACCCCAAAGACCUCUGUGAAGGCUGAAGUAGAGAACUGAGUCCUGCAGAUUAUCCUCUAACCUCCACAUGAACAAACAUACACAAUGAAUAAAUAAAUGUAACAAUACUUU